GACAGAGGGUGCAAACGUUGUUCGGAAUUACUGGGCGUAAAGCGAGUGUAGGCGGUCCGCUAAGUCGGGUGUGAAAGCCCUGGGCUCAACCCAGGAAGUGCACUCGAAACUGGCGGGCUAAAGUAUCGGAGAGGUUGGUGGAAUUCUCGGUGUAGAGGUGAAAUUCGUAGAUAUCGAGAGGAACACCGGUGGCGAAGGCGGCCAACUGGACGAAUACUGACGCUGAGACUCGAAAGCGUGGGGAGCAAACAGG
rnacentral:rRNA from 1 species